rnacentral:misc_RNA from 1 species
ACUAAGUCAUUAUUAUCAACAUAUUCCACGUUGAAUGGCUGAAUCUCCACAAGCUUUUAAUGAAUAUAGAGAUCGUCUUUUACCAUCCGUAUAAGCUCUCUGGACAUAUAAUUAACACUAAAGAAACAGAAUGUGGUAUCUACACUAAAAUCUUCAAGUUUAUUAUCUGUGUAUGAACCCUAUAGGCAGCGCAAAGCCAAAAAGUGUCAAAAUGUAAAGAAAAAAAAUAUUCAGAGAAUGGAAGAAAACAAAAAGGAUGUGAAAGCCAUCUUGAAUGUGGUCCUAGACAAAUCUUCAAAAUUAAUUCACCAAUACUUCAACCCCAACUAUCUUCUAUGGAACUAAGAGAGGAACUUCAUUAUGUACAGUCUUCAGAUCGCCUUCUGCUACAAUUUAUCAGCAAUUUUGCCGAGAGCAUCAGCAAGCUUAUUAAGAACAGCAACCACGCCAUCUGCAUGGUCCUUCCGCUGCUCCCGGUCCAAUUGGAAAUUGGUGUUCUGCGCUUCAAGUUGAGCAGUCAGCAUCUUACCAUUCUUUUCCAAGACAUCAAUCAACUGAUUCUGGACAUUGAUUGUUUCUUCAUCCCCGUCUGUUGUGAGUCGUUUCCGUUUCCGAUUCUCGUGUGAAGCAGAACCCACCUCAGGAUUGGAAGCAGGAUGUUUCUCAUUUGUUGUACCUGCAGAGAGUAAAAGAUGAGUCUGAAAAACAGUUUUAUCAGUAACAAUAAUAAAGUGAAAUUUUGUUAUGAACACUCAGCAAGUGUUACAGCACUUCAUUAUUCAUGGUGCAGAUACCAGUACCUUAAGCUACCAGUACCUUAAGCUUGGGAAGAAGUUACGCUAGGAUACGUGCAACCAUGGAUCAACAUUGAGAAAAAUACAUUUCAAUGCAAUGUGAUGCAACAGGAAUAUUUUAUAUCUUCCAAGCAACUGAAGAAUUUCUGUCCAAGAUCCAGACUAUAAAAAUCUUCAAUGUAUUUAUUUUUCAACAGUGGGGGAGAAAGGAAGAAGCUUAAGGGCCUAAAGAUUUCUAGAUACAGAUACCUAUCUUAUUAUAGCUCCAUUGGCUUAUUUGAUUCAUCAAACCAACAAAAGUACAAAGAGUGAUUUAGUCCCUAUCCAGCUUUCUGCCAAUUUACAGAUUCUAACCAUGAUUUACAUUAAAAGGUGGUGUUAACAGUAUGAAAAGUAAAUCUAGUCUCAGUUGCCUGCUUACAUGUCCUUCAAACACCAAAUUUUGUAUUGAUUUUUAAUAUUUAAACAUAAACUAAAGUACGACUGAAACUAGAGUAAUAUAUCAUCCAGAAGUUGUGAUAGGCAUAGCUGAAAGUCAGUUUCCAAGUCUCAUUGAAAAAGAAGAUGGUGAAUUAUUUUCACAUGAGCUGAAAAUUUAUCAUGACAUGCUGGAUUGAAGGGUCUACAUGAAAUCCCCAAAGGUGAUGAUAGAUCAUGGAGUCACAGACUAGUCACGACACUUGAUCAUAUAUCCAUAACUCGAUUAGUUUUCAAUUUGCAACUCAUUUAUGUUCUUUAUUUAGCUUCAUAAUAACAAUUAUCAUUGUCAAUUCAUUUGUUGAAACACUUUGCUUAAAGUAGAAGUCUGAAAUGAAAUGCAAUUUAUAUCUAAUUGAAAUUUGAACUCUCAAAAUGUUUGACAAUAUGCAAUAGGAGUUACUUCCAGUCAUACCAAAAGGCACAUAAUUCUUAUAAAAAAAAAAGGGAGAACUGGGGAACGGUUGAAAAA